GUACAUAUCUCACUUUGGCAGCACGUGUAAUAAAAUUGGAAUGACACAGAGAGGAUUAGCAUGGACUCUGUAAAAGGAUGAUAUGUAAAGCAUUAGGGCUGUUAU